GUGGUAAGAAGGUUAGAGUCCUUUAUCAGGGUUAGAGUCCCUUUGCAGAGGAAACAGUAUGCCUGGGGCAUGAGUGACACACAGAGAGAACAGUGUGUGUAUGUGCGAGUGAAAGAGAGACAGAGUGGCUGUGUGUGUGUGUAAGAGGCCCAGAGAGAGAGAAAGAAAGAGAGCGAGCGUAUUUGUGGGCCGGCUAAAUAUAGAAAUAAAUCAAUCAAUGAUAACCCGGCUAUGUGUGCAACGCUUGCUUGCUUUGUUAUGCUCAACGCUAUUUUGCCGUGUCUAAUGAUUGUGAGUGCGGUAGCAGACGGAUAAUUGCAUUGACCACAGCGGACGGGAAUAGUAGACACCUGUUGCCCCUCACUAGUAAGGUGUGAGCGGCUGGGCAUAUAUCUCUGUCCAGACUCCCUGUGCAUGUGUGUCAGAAAGAGAGAGAGAAAGGCUGUGAGCGAUUCUGUGCGUGUACGUCAGUGUGUACGUGCGUGUCAGCGAGUAUGCGUCAACGUGCGUUUGGGUGUGUACGUUUGCGUGAGAGAAAGCUUGAUAGAGGGAAAGAGAGAACCUGUGAGUGAAUCAGUGUGUGGAGUGGUGUGGUACGCCCGAAUGCAUCUUUUGUCACGUUGGUGGGUUGUGGCACUAAUGUGUCGCCAUAGAGUUUCCCUGAGGCGUAUCUUUUACGCACACACACGCUGCAUAGGGCAGAGGCGGCUGAAGACUCUGUCUCCAUCCCUCCACCUUGCGAUCUAUACCACCAUAUAGGUGGGGAUUGAUCGUAUCCCAGGUACGGCAUCCUGCAAUAAGCCAGGAUGGAAGGCUGGUUAGCCAACGACGGGUAAGAUCCCACCUUGAAGCCCGGGACGACCUAAGGCAGGCACAGUCACGCUUACUUGGCAAAGUCGCUGUGGGCACUGGCUUACUUGAUCAUGAAGUGACGAGCUGCAACAAUCAUAGGAAGUGCCGGGUGGGGUGUAGGGUGGAGGAGGAACAGGAGUCAGAUAUGUCAGCUCUUGCAGCAGAGGUGGUCUUGGAACGGGGCAUGUCGCGUUUUAUUUUAUUUUAUUUUACCUUUGUGGUAUAGAAGGCCACUAACGCAUGUACGUUUUUUCGGUUUGGUGCAUGACUUUGGAACCCAUAUUGGGCUUUGGUUUUGGACACACUGGUUCGAUUUCCCUUCCCAAAAGAUUGGCUUUAAUUUGCUGAUGGUUAAGGUUAGACGUUUCGACGUUGGUUGCACCAACGGCGUUCUUAGAUUUGCUUAUCAUUUAAUGCGCAUGGUUUUGACAGAGGUAUUGAGGAGAAUUAGGAAAAUUUUUGAAAACAAGGUUUUUCUUCACCAUACUUGCAAACAAUGAUUGACAUCCAGCUAAAUGAGUGUGAAAUAUUUGAAAAAAACAGUGUUCAACAGAUGGGUAGAAGCAGUCCCAUCAGAAGACCAAACUGCGGCUACGGUAAUCAAGGUUCUGACUAGAGAAGUCAUGCCAAGGUUUGGAAUUCCGUCAGAAAUUAGCUCAGGCGAUAGGGCAGUGUUUAUUCAGAAAACACUCAAACGAGUGAUUUAACAUCUGCAUGUCAAACAAAGACUAGUCUGUGUCUACAAUCCUCAAACCACAAGGUAUGGUGGAGAGAGGAAUGGGACGCUCAAGACAAAGAUUAACAAAAUUAAAUUAGAGUACUAAAUUAAAGGACUAAUGCACUACGACUGACACUAAUGAGUUAUCGCAUGAAAACUAACAGAACGACGCAUCUAACCCCGCAUGAAAUGCUUAAGGGUCGACCCAUGCCUUCACUUAACAUUCGAGGGUCCCAAAAGGGACUUCCAUUAGAGUAAUUAGAAAUAGAAUUAAGGAAAAUAUGUUUGAACAUCUAACUGUUGUACAUAAGUUUGUAAUUCCAGCAAGAGAAACACAAAGUUCCAGGGCCAGAGGAGGAGCCAGAUGCAGACACGCCCGGAGCCGACCAACUACCCAAGGAUGAUGCAAUCAGAUUUCGUACGGAUGGGUCGGUGGCCAGGGCGCUGGCAGGGUUAUAGUCCCUCAGAUUAGAGUUGGCAGAGAGCUCCGGCAUUA
ensembl:lncRNA